rnacentral:lncRNA from 1 species
AUGCCGGUGAGCCUGCAACAUCUCCGAUGAGCUGCAGGACCUGGACACCUUAGGUAUGCCCUGCUCCUCCUCCUUCCACCCUCAUCUCAUGUGCGCCAAGUCCAUCUAUCUCAUGUGCAUGUAGAUCAUGAUGUACCAGAACCCUGCAACAGAACUACUGAUGUAAUAUGCAAAGAACAAAUUAAAACCAUGUUCUAUAUCCUGACUUGUUAUUUUCUUAUCUAGCAAAUUGUAGACAUGAAUCUCUAGUUGACCUAUUGUUUCAUAGACAUAUAUCUGCAUUUCUGCUGCUUUAUCAUACAUUCGAUCCAUAAAUCUGCAUUUCUGUGAAAUUUUGUUAAAUAUAUAUUUUCCAGAUAGUCUAUACACUAAACCUAGAGGUUUGAAUAUCUACUCCAGGAAUGAAAAUGCUAAAUGACUUUGUGUUCACCCUUUUACAGGAGCUCCAGGCCUAGGAAAUUUCAAGUUUGAAGUGGCGUGUUCUGAUAGUCCAGAAAAGUGAAGAAGUCUGGAGUGUAUUUGUAGUAGGAGUUAUAUGUUCUGAUAGAAUCACAUGUAAUGGUGAAAUGAAUUAUGUAAAGAUUGUGCUAUUAGUCAAAAUUGGCAUGUGGUUUGAUAAUUCUCAUUUGUUUGCUGUUCUGACUGAAAUAAUUGUGUGGAAAUUGAAACAUUGGCUGUCUUUAAUUAGAACCUGACAAGUGGGACCUAAUAGUAUUUGGCAUAUAAAAAGGCCAUUUUCCAAAUAAUAUUCACAGGAAAAAAACCUAAAAACUAAGGAAAUGGACUGUAAAAAGGCCGAGGCCCAAUUGAUAAAU